UACGGAGGGAGCUAGCGUUGUUCGGAAUUACUGGGCGUAAAGCGCACGUAGGCGGCUUUUUAAGUCAGGGUGAAAUCCCGGGGCUCAACCCCGGAACUGCCCUUGAAACUGGAGAGCUAGAAUCUUGGAGAGGCGAGUGGAAUUCCGAGUGUAGAGGUGAAAUUCGUAGAUAUUCGGAAGAACACCAGUGGCGAAGGCGACUCGCUGGACAAGUAUUGACGCUGAGGUGCGAAAGCGUGGGGAGCAAACAGG
rnacentral:rRNA from 1 species